rnacentral:piRNA from 1 species
UGGCAAUCCCAAUGUGGGUUAUUUCUGUC